GACGAACGCUGGCGGCGUGCCUAAUACAUGCAAGUCGAGCGGAAGUUGAAGAGCUUGCUCUUCAACUUUAGCGGCGGACGGGUGAGUAACACGUGGGCAACCUGCCCUGCAGAUCGGGAUAACUCCGGGAAACCGGUGCUAAUACCGAAUAGUUUUGGGUCCCUCCUGGGACCUAACGGAAAGACGGUUUCGGCUGUCACUGCAGGAUGGGCCCGCGGCGCAUUAGCUAGUUGGUGGGGUAACGGCCCACCAAGGCGACGAUUCGUAGCCGACCUGAGAGGGUGAGCGGCCAAACUGGGACUGAGACACGGCCCAGACUCCUACGGGAGGCAGCAGUAGGGAAUCUUCCGCAAUGGACGCAAGUCUGACGGAGCAACGCCGCGUGAGUGAUGAAGGUUUUCGGAUCGUAAAACUCUGUUGCGAGGGAAGAAACCGUGCCAAUUAACUACUGGCACCUUGACGGUACCUCGCCAGAAAGCCACGGCUAACUACGUGCCAGCCGCCGCAGUAA
rnacentral:rRNA from 1 species